GGCCCUAUCGUCUAGUGGUUAGGACUCCAGAUUCUCAUUCUGGCAACAGGGGUUCGAUUCCCCUUAGGGCUACCA
rnacentral:tRNA from 1 species